AUUAGAGUUUGAUCCUGGCUCAGAACGAACGUUGGCGGCGUGGAUCAGGCAUGCAAGUCGAACGACCGCAGCAAUGCGGGAGUGGCGCAAGGGGCAGUAAGAUGUGGGCAACUUGCCCCGGACACCGGCAUAGCCGGCCUAACGGCCGGGUAACACCGGGCGGCCCCGCGACAGGGCAUCCUGUUGCGGGUAAAGCUCCGGCGGUCCGGGAGGGGCUCACACGGCACCAACUGGUUGGUGAGGUAACGGCUCACCAAGGUUAAGACGCCUAGCGGGUGUGAGAGCACGACCCGCGCCACUGGCACUGAGACACUGGCCAGACUCCUACGGGAGGCUGCAGUCGAGGAUCUUCGGCAAUGGGCGAAAGCCCGACCGAGCGACGCCGCGUGCGCGACGAAGGCCUUCGGGUUGUAAAGCGCGAAGGGAGUGAGGAAGCCCGAAAGGGUUGACCGACCUCCAGUAAGCACGGGCUAAGUUCGUGCCAGCAGCCGCGGUAAGACGAACCGUGCGAACGUUGUUCGGAAUCACUGGGCUUAAAGGGCGCGUAGGCGGCCCGACGCGUCCGGGGUGAAAUGCCGCAGCCUAACUGCGGCACUGCCUCGGGUACGGUCGGGCUGGAGUGGUGCAGGGGUCCGCGGAACAUCCGGUGGAGCGGUGAAAUGCGUUGAGAUCGGAUGGAACUCCGGCGGCGAAAGCGGCGGACUGGACACCAACUGACGCUGAGGCGCGAAAGCCAGGGGAGCGAACGGGAUUAGAUACCCCGGUAGUCCUGGCCCUAAACGAUAGGUACCAGGUAGCAGGGCGCAUGGCCUUGCUGCCGGAGCGAAAGUGCGCAGUACCCCGCCUGGGGAGUAUGGCCGCAAGGCUGAAACUCAAAGGAAUUGACGGGGGCUCACACAAGCGGUGGAGCAUGUGGCUUAAUUCGAGGCUACGCGAAGAACCUUAUCCUGGACUUGACAUACGCGAAAGCGAGAGCAAGUAGCCCGCGGAAACGUGGGGCGAACGGUAACCAGCCCGGAAGCUUUCACAGGUGCUGCAUGGCUGUCGUCAGCUCGUGUCGUGAGAUGUCGGGUUAAGUCCCAUAACGAGCGAAACCCCUGCCCUCGGUUACUACAGGUCAAGCUAAGGACUCCGAGGGGACCGCCGGUGUCAAACCGGAGGAAGGCGGGGACGACGUCAAGUCCUCAUGGCCUUUAUGUCCAGGGCCGCACACGUGCUACAAUGGCGUGCACAAAGGGAGGCGACUGCGCGAGCAGAAGCGGACCCCAAAAAACACGCCCCAGUCCGGAUCGCAGGCUGCAACCCGCCUGCGUGAAGCCGGAAUCGCUAGUAAUUGCAGGUCAGCAUACUGCAGUGAAUUCGUUCCCGGGCCUUGUACACACCGCCCGUCACACCAUGGAAGCUGGUCACGCCCGAAGUCGUUACCCUAACCUUUCGAGGAGGGGGACGCCGAAGGUAGGACUGGUGACUGGGGUGAAGUCGUAACAAGGUAACCAAU
rnacentral:rRNA from 1 species